rnacentral:rRNA from 1 species
GGGGAACCCAGCAUCUUUUAUAGGAUGUUACGUUUGCGUGAAUACAUAGCGCAUUCGAGGUAGACGCAGAGAACUGAAACAUCUAAGUACCUGCAGGAAGAGAAAGAAAAUUCGAUUCCCUGAGUAGCGGCGAGCGAAACGGGAAAAGCCCAAACCAAUGAGCUUGCUCAUUGGGGUUGUAGGACUCCAAUAUGGUAGUUCUUUCAGAUAGUCGAAUGACUUGGAAAAGUCAGUCAAAGAGGGUAAAAACCCCGUAGAUGAAAUUUGGAAGGCACCUAGGAGGAUCCUGAGUACGGCGGAACACGAGGAAUUCCGUCGGAAUCCGGGAGGACCAUCUCCCAAGGCUAAAUACUCCCUAGUGACCGAUAGUGAACCAGUACCGUGAGGGAAAGGUGAAAAGCACCCCGGAAGGGGAGUGAAAUAGAACCUGAAACCGUGUGCCUACAACAAGUCAAAGCCCGUUAAUGGGUGAUGGCGUGCCUUUUGUAGAAUGAACCGGCGAGUUACGAUUGCAUGCGAGGUUAAGUUGAAGAGACGGAGCCGCAGCGAAAGCGAGUCUGAAUAGGGCGUUUGAGUAUGUAGUCGUAGACCCGAAACCAUGUGAUCUACCCAUGUCCAGGUUGAAGGUGCGGUAAAACGCACUGGAGGACCGAACCCACGUACGUUGAAAAGUGCGGGGAUGAGGUGUGGGUAGCGGAGAAAUUCCAAACGAACUUGGAGAUAGCUGGUUCUCUCCGAAAUAGCUUUAGGGCUAGCCUCGGAAUUGAGAAUGAUGGAGGUAGAGCACUGUUUGGACUAGGGGCCCAUCUCGGGUUACCGAAUUCAGAUAAACUCCGAAUGCCAUUCAUUCAUAUCCGGGAGUCAGACUGUGAGUGAUAAGAUCCAUAGUCGAAAGGGAAACAGCCCAGACCACCAGCUAAGGUCCCAAAAUAUAUGUUAAGUGGAAAAGGAUGUGGGGUUGCACAGACAACUAGGAUGUUGGCUUAGAAGCAGCCACCAUUUAAAGAGUGCGUAAUAGCUCACUAGUCGAGUGACCCUGCGCCGAAAAUGUACCGGGGCUAAACAUAUUACCGAAGCUGUGGAGUACACCUUUAGGUGUAUUGGUAGGAGAGCGUUCUAAGGGCGUUGAAGGCAGAUCGUGAGGACUGCUGGAGCGCUUAGAAGUGAGAAUGCCGGUAUGAGUAGCGAAAGACAGGUGAGAAUCCUGUCCACCGAAUGACUAAGGUUUCCUGGGGAAGGCUCGUCCGCCCAGGGUUAGUCGGGACCUAAGCCGAGGCCGACAGGCGUAGGCGAUGGACAACAGGUUGAUAUUCCUGUACUCGUUGUUUUUGUUUGAGCAAUGGAGGGACGCAGGAGGCUAAGGAAUGCAGACGAUUGGAAAUGUCUGUCUAAGCAGUAAGUCU